UACGUAGGGACCAAGCGUUGUCCGGAACCAUUGGGCGUAAAGCGCGCGUAGGCGGCCCGGUAAGUCCGUUGUAAAAGUCGAAGGCUCAACCUUCGAAAGCCGAUGGAUACUGCCGGGCUAGAGUACGGAAGAGGCGAGUAGAAUUCCUGGUGUAGCGGUGGAAUGCGCAGAUAUCAGGAGGAAUACCCAUAGCGAAGGCAGCUCGCUGGGACGUUACUGACGCUGAGGCGCGAAAGCGUGGGGAGCGAACAGG
rnacentral:rRNA from 1 species